rnacentral:rRNA from 12 species
AUUAAUUGUAAUAUUUCUUGAUCGCAUGUAAGUAUUAUUUACUAUUUUUUGUCAAAUUAUAGAAAUGGUACUGUGCUUAAUUGUUUGUUGGAAACACUCCUAAAACGUGUACAGUAUGUAUUGUGCAUAAAUCAAAGUAAUCAAGGCAGGAAUC